rnacentral:rRNA from 1 species
UACGAAGGGGGCUAGCGUUGCUCGGAAUUAUUGGGCGUAAAGAGCUCGUAGGCGGUUUGUCGCGUCGGCUGUGAAAUCCCGAGGCUCAACCUCGGGCCUGCAGUCGAUACGGGCAAACUAGAGUGUGGUAGGGGAGACUGGAAUUCCUGGUGUAGCGGUGAAAUGCGCAGAUAUCAGGAGGAACACCGGCGGCGAAGGCGGGUCUCUGGGCCAUAACUGACGCUGAGGAGCGAAAGCGUGGGGAGCGAACAGG